rnacentral:rRNA from 1 species
UACGUAGGGUGCAAGCGUUAAUCGGAAUACUGGGCGUAAAAGCGUGCGCAGGCGGUGAUGUAAGACCGAUGUGAAAUCCCCCGGGCUUAACCUGGGAACUGCAUUGGUGACUGCAUUGCUAGGGUAUGGCAGAGGGGGGGUGGAAUUCCACGUGUAGCAGUGAAAUGCGUAGAGAUGUGGAGGAACACCGAUGGCGAAGGCAGCCCCCCUGGGCUGACACUGACGCUCAGGCACGAAAGCGUGGGGAGCAAACAGG